CUGCGAAUGGCUCAUUAAAUCAGUUAUCGUUUAUUUGAUAGUACCUUACUACUUGGAUAACCGUGGUAAUUCUAGAGCUAAUACAUGCUGAAAACCCCAACUUCGGAAGGGGUGUAUUUAUUAGAUAAAAAACCAACGCCCUUCGGGGCUUCUUGGUGAUUCAUGAUAACUUAACGGAUCGCAUGGCCUUGCGCCGGCGACGGUUCAUUCAAAUUUCUGCCCUAUCAACUUUCGAUGGUAAGGUAUUGGCUUACCAUGGUUUCAACGGGUAACGGGGAAUUAGGGUUCGAUUCCGGAGAGGGAGCCUGAGAAACGGCUACCACAUCCAAGGAAGGCAGCAGGCGCGCAAAUUACCCAAUCCCGACACGGGGAGGUAGUGACAAUAAAUACUGAUACAGGGCUCUUUUGGGUCUUGUAAUUGGAAUGAGUACAAUUUAAACCUCUUAACGAGGAACAAUUGGAGGGCAAGUCUGGUGCCAGCAGCCGCGGUAAUUCCAGCUCCAAUAGCGUAUAUUAAAGUUGUUGCAGUUAAAAAGCUCGUAGUUGAACCUUGGGUCUGGCUGGCAGGUCCGCCUCACCGCGUGUACUUGUCCGGCCGGGCCUUCCUUCUGGAGAACCUCAUGCCCUUCACUGGGCGUGUUGGGGACCAGGACUUUUACUUUGAAAAAAUUAGAGUGUUCAAAGCAGGCCUUUGCUCGAAUACGUUAGCAUGGAAUAAUAAAAUAGGACGUGCGGUCCUAUUUUGUUGGUUUCUAGGACCGCCGUAAUGAUUAAUAGGGACAGUCGGGGGCAUCAGUAUUCAAUUGUCAGAGGUGAAAUUCUUGGAUUUAUUGAAGACUAACUACUGCGAAAGCAUUUGCCAAGGAUGUUUUCAUUAAUCAGUGAACGAAAGUUAGGGGAUCGAAGACGAUCAGAUACCGUCGUAGUCUUAACCGUAAACUAUGCCGACUAGGGAUCGGGCGAUGUUCUUUUUCUGACUCGCUCGGCACCUUACGAGAAAUCAAAG
rnacentral:rRNA from 1 species